AAAUAUCAAACCACCCUCGUACAUAAAUGUAUGUUUCAAAAUCCGUCGAAAAGUACACAGUGGAAUAGAAUUAAGUUUCCAUCAUUUGAUGUUUCUGUUUCGGGCUGGAUUGCCUUCAGAGUGCACAAUCGUUGCAGGAACAAAUGUCGCCCAUCGCCUACACACAUCCUCCGACCAGCCAUCAACCACCCUGCCUCCUCACAGCCCCCUCGAACCACGAACCUCCAGCAGCCAGGACCAAGCCACAGACCGAAUCGCAGUCCUUGUUUGGGGAUGAGGUUUGAGGUCUGAGGAGGAGGACGCAGGACGCAGGACGCAGGGCCCAUGCAAAUGGAGAAUGAAAAAUGCGCACCAAGUGGGGUCCGGGUCCGCAUUUGGCCAAUACUCUGCUCAACACUGCGCCGAGGUAGAAGUCCCAUAAAAAAAAUGAUCUAAUGUUGCGAGUGGAAGAACUGAUACAAGUUUAAGACAAGCAUUUCACACAAGAAAGUAGAAAUCCUUGACUUUCAUUUAUAAUUAUUAUAUAUUUAUAUAAUAUAAUAUUAUAAUUACUCAA